rnacentral:misc_RNA from 1 species
GAAAUGAUAAAUAUCAUGGCUUGCUUUCAGUUGUAUUAAAUUAACCUUUUUAGUUAAGGAUAGAUUCUUUUUUUUUUUAAAUUACUUCAUAACAUAUAAUAUUUAAUUAAUCAAUAUAAUUAUUAUUUGUAGCAGCAGGCCAUUACAAAAUCCAAACGAGUACGUAAAUAUUGGCAAGCUUAUUUAGCGCGUACGUUGGUUGCUAGCCACGAUAACAAGAUAAAUUGAUUUCACUCAAUGAUCAUAAGAAGCAGGAGGAGGCCUUCUAAGUAGAAGAUGAAUGAAGCAUUCCAAUACUUUCACUGCACAUGUGUUGGCCAAAGCACUGUUGCUUUCACCUCCAUCAGCGUAAUUUGAAACUCCAUUGAACAAAAUAAAUGGCAGUUCGUUUGUAUGAGCUCCCAAUGCCACAGCAAUGCUCGAUGUAUCCACAACUGAGGUCUCAAAAGUUUUGUAAAGGAAGUCUCUGUAUGCUUCAUUGCUCACGUAUGUAUCUGCACUGGAGAUCCUCAGUCCAGUAAAAACAAAGUCGAUCUCAAUCUUAUCUGCAAUCUGUUGCCAUUCUGGAGUAACUUCAAUCCAAAUACUUUCUUUGAAUGUCCCAUUUACGUACACCUUUGAUUUUUCAUACAGUACACUUCCGAGCAAAUUUUCUCCUUCCUCUGGUUCAUUAAAUUCUGCGAACUUGAGCAGACCUUCCUUUGAUGCAUUGUAUGGCAGCCAUUUCCAAAGUCCUGUGGAGCCAACUGCGCUGGGUACAGCAACUUGACCGACGCUCAACAAAUCAGUAAGGGCUCCAGCACUCCCAAAAUAGAUGAUUCCAAGAAGAUUAAAUUUGGCAGCCAUGAUUUCCACUGUUAUGGCCACGUUAAUCGAUGGAUUAGCUGGACUAUUAACGAAGACAAAUUUACUUCCAUAAAUUGUUCCAAGCAAGAAUGUUCUUCCUUUGUAUGCAACAGAUGAAGUAGAAAUGAAGAUGCCAGACUCAUUAAAUGCCUGCUCAGAGGAAGUGGUAGUCACAAUGAUCGCAUAAACCGGUGGAUUUAAGUCAUUGAUCUUCUGGACAGCCCCUUGCAGAGGGUUUUUCAUGCUAAGUUGCAUGGUGGGCGAUGCCAUAGCCAGCAGCCCGAUCACUACCACUGCCAUUUCAACCGCCCACAUCAUUCGUCGUGGCCCUGCCACGGCCAUUGUUUCUCCCUGGAGAGAUAAGUGUAAGAGACAAGUGAACAAGAGAGAAAAAUAGUGAGUAAAUUAAGAACAAUGCGAU